rnacentral:rRNA from 1 species
CCUUAUAAAGCACCAAGGAGCAGGUAUCAGGCACAACCAGUUAGCCCAAAACACCUUGCUACGCCACACCCACACGGGCACCCAGCAGUGAUAAAUAUUAAGCAAUGAGUGAAAGCCAACUCAAGCUCGACUUAGUUAUGAUUACUAGGGUUGGUAAACCUCGUGCCAGCCACCGCGGUUAUACGAGGAACCCAAAACAACGGACACCGGCGUAAAUUGUGACUAGAGCACCUCCUAUAUAUUGGGAAAUAAACAAAAACUCGAUCGUAAAACCUGAGCCAAAAGAAAUAUACUUCCCCAACUAUAAAGAAGCUUGAACCCACGAAGACUAAGAAACAAACUAGGAUUAGAUACCCUACUAUGCUUAGUUGUUAACAUGAUACCAAAAACACUGGUAUCCGCCAGAAAAUUACACGCGAAAAGCUUAAAACUCAAAGGACUUGGCGGUGCUCCGUAUUCGCCUUAGAGGAGCCUGUCCUAUAAUCGAUAACCCACGCUUUACCUUACCAUCUUUUGUCAAACAGCCUAUAUACCGCCGUCGCAAACUUACCCCAUGAGGGCAUAACAGUAAGUAAAACAGUAAUGCACUAACACGUCAGGUCAAGGUGUAGCUAAUAAGAUGGAAGAGAUGGGCUACAUUUUCUAAAACAGAACACAC